rnacentral:rRNA from 1 species
AGGACGAACGCUGGCGGCGUGCCUAACACAUGCAAGUGGAGCGACGAACCGGGCUUCGGCCCGGGGCAAAGCCGCGAACGGGUGAGUAACACGUGGGUAACCUGCCCCGAUGAUUGGGACAACCCGAGGAAACUCGGGCUAAUACCGAAUGUGCCCUCCGGCCUCAAGGCCGCUGGGGAAAGGAGCCUCGGCCUCCGCAUCGGGAUGGGCCCGCGGCCCAUUAGCUUGUUGGUGAGGUAACGGCUCACCAAGGCGACGAUGGGUAGCUGGUCUGAGAGGACGAUCAGCCACACUGGGACUGAGACACGGCCCAGACUCCUACGGGAGGCAGCAGUGGGGAAUCUUGCGCAAUGGCCGAAAGGCUGACGCAGCGACGCCGCGUGGGGGAGGAAGGCCUUCGGGUUGUAAACCCCGUGUUGCCCGGGACGAACGCGUUCUUUAGAGAGCGUUGACGGUACCGGGUGAGGAAGCACCGGCUAACUCCGUGCCAGCAGCCGCGGUAA